rnacentral:rRNA from 1 species
GGACCAGACUCCUACGGGAGGCAGCAGUGGGGAAUAUUGCACAAUGGGGGAAACCCUGAUGCAGCAACGCCGCGUGAGUGAAGAAGUCAUUCGUGAUGUAAAGCUCUAUCAGCAGGGAAGAAAAUGACGGUACCUGAGUAAGAAGCCCCGGCUAACUACGUGCCAGCAGCCGCGGUAAUACGGAGGAUGCGAGCGUUAUCCGGAUUUAUUGGGUUUAAAGGGUGCGUAGGCGGUUUUUUAAGUUAGUGGUUAAACGUCGGGGCUUCACCUUGAUUUGCCAUUAAUACUGUAAGACUCGAGUUCAGACGAGGUAGGCGGAAUAAGUUAAGUAGCGGUGAAAUGCUUAGAUAUAACUUAGAACUCCGAUAGCGAAGGCAGCUUACCAGACUGCGACUGACGCUGAAGCACGAGAGCGUGGGUAGCGAACAGGAUUAGAUACCCUGGUA